UUUUAUGGAGAGUUUGAUCCUGGCUCAGGACGAACGCUGGCGGCGUGCCUAAUACAUGCAAGUCGAGCGAACAGAGAAGGAGCUUGCUCCUUUGACGUUAGCGGCGGACGGGUGAGUAACACGUGGGCAACCUACCUUAUAGUUUGGGAUAACUCCGGGAAACCGGGGCUAAUACCGAAUAAUCUAUUU
rnacentral:rRNA from 1 species